rnacentral:tRNA from 1 species
GGCGGCUGGGCGGCGGGGAUUCUCGGCGCCUACAAGGUGCUGCGCGGCGAGCGGCCGUUGCCGGCCGAUCCGAACGGCAGUCGUCCC